rnacentral:rRNA from 1 species
AACGCUACCUUGGCGUGCUAUUUUCAUGCAAGAUCCCGCGGUAAGGCCUUUCGGGGUACACGAGCGGCGAACGGGUGAGAACACGCGGGUGAUCUGCCCUGCACUUCGGGAUAAGCCUGGGAAACUGGGUCUAAUACCGGAUAUGACCUCAGGUUGCAUGACUUGGGGUGGAAAGAUUUAUCGGUGCAGGAUGGGCCCGCGGCCUAUCAGCUUGUUGGUGGGGUAAUGUCCUACCAAGGCGACUACGGGUAGCCGACCUGAGAGGGUGACCGGCCACACUGGGACUGAGACACGGCCCAGACUCCUACGGGAGGCAGCAGUGGGGAAUAUUGCACAAUGGGCGAAAGCCUGAUGCAGCGACGCCGCGUGAGGGAUGACGGCCUUCGGGUUGUAAACCUCUUUCAGCAGGGACGAAGCGCAAGUGACGGUACCUGCAGAAGAAGCACCGGCUAACUACGUGCCAGCAGCCGCGGUAAUACGUAGGGUGCAAGCGUUGUCCGGAAUUACUGGGCGUAAAGAGUUCGUAGGCGGUUUGUCGCGUCGUUUGUGAAAACCAGCAGCUCAACUGCUGGCUUGCAGGCGAUACGGGCAGACUUGAGUACUGCAGGGGAGACUGGAAUUCCUGGUGUAGCGGUGAAAUGCGCAGAUAUCAGGAGGAACACCGGUGGCGAAGGCGGGUCUCUGGGCAGUAACUGACGCUGAGGAACGAAAGCGUGGGUAGCCGAACAGGAUUAGAUACCCUG